rnacentral:rRNA from 1 species
AUCCGGGUUGCGGACAGUGUCUGGUGGGUAGUUUGACUGGGGCGGUCUCCUCCUAAAGAGUAACGGAGGAGCACGAAGGUCAGCUAAUCCUGGUCGGACAUCAGGAGGUUAGUGCAAUGGCAUAAGCUGGCUUGACUGCGAGCGUGACGGCGCGAGCAGGUGCGAAAGCAGGUCAUAGUGAUCCGGUGGUUCUGAAUGGAAGGGCCAUCGCUCAACGGAUAAAAGGUACUCCGGGGAUAACAGGCUGAUACCGCCCAAGAGUUCAUAUCGACGGCGGUGUUUGGCACCUCGAUGUCGGCUCAUCACAUCCUGGGGCUGAAGUAGGUCCCAAGGGUAUGGCUGUUCGCCAUUUAAAGUGGUACGCGAGCUGGGUUUAGAACGUCGUGAGACAGUUCGGUCCCUAUCUGCCGUGGGCGCUGGAGAACUGAGGGGGGCUGCUCCUAGUACGAGAGGACCGGAGUGGACGCAUCACUGGUGUUCGGGUUGUCAUGCCAAUGGCACUGCCCGGUAGCUAAAUGCGGAAGAGAUAAGUGCUGAAAGCAUCUAAGCACGAAACUUGCCCCGAGAUGAGUUCUCCCUGAC